CCUACGGGAGUCUGCAGUAGGGAAUCUUCCACAAUGGGCGCAAGCCUGAUGGAGCAACGCCGCGUGGGUGAAGAAGGUCUUCGGAUCGUAAAACCCUGUUGUUAGAGAAGCAAGUGCGUGAGAGUAACUGUUAACGUUUCUACGGUAUCUAACCAGAAAGCCACGGCUAACUACGUGCCAGCAGCCGCGGUAAUCCGUAGGUGGCAAGCGUUAGCCGGAUUUAUUGGGCGUAAAGGGAACGCAGGCGGUCUUUUAAGUCUGAUGUGAAUGCCUUCGGCUUAACCGGAGUAGUGCAUUGGAAACUGGGAGACUUGAGUGCAGAAGAGGAGAGUGGAACUCCAUGUGUAGCGGUGAAAUGCGUAGAUAUAUGGAAGAACACCAGUGGCGAAAGCGUGGGUAUCGAACAGGAUUAGAUACCCCUGUAGUC
rnacentral:rRNA from 1 species